GGACUACCGGGGUUUCUAAUCCUGUUUGCUACCCACGCUUUCGCGCCUCAGUGUCAGUUGCGGUCCAGGUAGUCGCCUUCGCCACUGGUGUUCCUUCCGAUCUCUACGCAUUUCACCGCUACACCGGAAAUUCCACUACCCUCUACCGCACUCUAGCUAUGCAGUUUAAAAUGCAAUUCCUAGGUUAAGCCCAGGGAUUUCACAUCUUACUUGCACAACCACCUACGCGCCCUUUACGCCCAGUAACUCCGAUUAACGCUUGCACCCUCUGUAUUACCGCGGCUGCUGGCAC
rnacentral:rRNA from 1 species